GUCGGGGUAGUGCAGUGGUUAGCACAUCAGUCUCACAACAUUAGUUGAGUCCACUGGGGGUCCUGGGUUCGAAUCCCGGUCUCGACA